CAGCGCCACGGUAAUACGUAGGGUGCGAGCGUUGUCCGGAAUUACUGGGCGUAAAGGGCUCGUAGGUGGUUUGUCGCGUCGUCUGUGAAAUUCCGGGGCUUAACUCCGGGCGUGCAGGCGAUACGGGCAUAACUUGAGUACUGUAGGGGUAACUGGAAUUCCUGGUGUAGCGGUGAAAUGCGCAGAUAUCAGGAGGGACACCAAUAGCGAAGGCAGCUCGCUGGGACGUUACUGACACUGAGGCGCGAAAGCGUGGGGAGCGAACAGGAUUAGAUACCCCGGUAGUCCCUGUCUUCUUAUA
rnacentral:rRNA from 1 species